GAUGAACGCUGGCGGCGUGCUUAACACAUGCAAGUCGAACGGGGAAGGCGGAGCUUGCUCUGCUGGAUCAGUGGCGAACGGGUGAGUAACACGUGAGCAAUCUGCCCCUGACUCUGGGAUAAGCGCUGGAAACGGAGUCUAAUACUGGAUACGAGCUACGAAGGCAUCUUCAGCAGCUGUAAAGAACUUCGGUCAGGGAUGAGCUCGCGGCCUAUCAGCUUGUUGGUGAGGUAGCGGCUCACCAAGGCGUCGACGGGUAGCCGGGCUGAGAGGGUGACCGGCCACACUGGGACUGAGACACGGCACAGCCUCCUACGGGAGGCAGCAGUGGGGAAUAGUGCACAAUGGGCGAAAGCCUGAUGCAGCAACGCCGCGUGAGGGAAGACGGCCUUCGGGUUGUAAACCUCUUUUAGCAGGGAAGAAGCGAAAGUGACGGUACCUGCAGAAAAAGCGCCGGCUAACUACGUG
rnacentral:rRNA from 1 species